rnacentral:lncRNA from 1 species
UAAUAGUUAGAGGCAGCCAUGGAGUAUAGGUUUUUGGGAUUUCUUUGUUUUGUUUUGUUUUUGAGAUUAAAAAAAUAUAUUUGUGUGUGUGUGUGUGUGUGCUACUGUAAACAGGUGCUGGUGAGCUCAGAACAGGAUGUGAAAGUUCCUGGAGCUGGCGUUACAGGCAGGCAGCUAUGAAUUGCCUGACUAGGGGACUAGGAAACCAAACUCAGGCCCUCUGGAAGAGCAGUACAUACUCUUAACUACUGAGCCAUCUCCAGCCCCAUGGAACACAGUUCUUAUAAGUGAGACUAAAAGAGAAGUCUGCUGAGAGUUAUAGGCAAGUUCUGACUGUGGUUUGUUCCCCAACAGACCAAACCCCAACCAACCGUUCUUGAUCCAAGAUAAGCCCAACAUCUAAGGAAAGCUGCAUAAAUAAUAAUAAUAAUAAGUUAGGCACAGCUUUCCUUAAACAACAACUCUUUAUGAGCCAUUACCAUCACACUGGGCCCUAGAAGCUGUUUAGAGAUAUCUGAAACACACAGGAGAAGGUCCAAGUUCUGUACAGACAACAUACCACCAUCUAUGAUGGAUUUGAGCAUCCACAGAUCUCCUGAGUGUUCAAGGUAGGUCCUGGAGUCAGUCCUCCCACCCCCUGCUGAGGGACAACUGUACAGGUGUUGUGGUACAUCUGCUGAUGACUAAAACAGGAAGGCGAAUCUAUAGAGGGAGACAUGCCCCCUUACGCUGCCUCAGCCCCAGGGUGUUAUUUUCAGGCUAAGCCAGGAGGGCUUCUACCCACCUGCUCCAGAUUUUCAUUCUGUGGAAAUGUAAAAGCAGACUACCAUCUAUUGUUAGACAGAAGCUCUCCGCUUGCAGCCAAGAGCUGUCCUGGCACAGCUCUUUGCCAAAGCCUUGUUAUUCGCUUUUGUCCUUAUUUUCUUUUUUCCCCCUUGAGAACCAUCUUCUUAUGUCUUUAGCCUGUCUUCCUCCCGGGUCAUUUUCCUUGUUUCGUUCUCAUGCUUAAAAGCUUUACUUAUUAGCAUUGUUAUCCUUUUGCCGGACGUAUGUGCUCACAGUUAUCUUUGCAUUCACAUGCUAUCAAUUAUCUUUCACUCUCUUCUUGGUGGACUUUCCUGACUUAAUGCUGUCAUGUUUGUCCAUGUCUCCUUGGUGGAUUUGCUAAGAGUGACUUAAAACAAGUCAUUCUUAGAAAUGCCAUACCUGCUUCAAAGGUGUGGGAAUAGCAAUGUGUAAACUUUUAAAGAUUGUUUUGACAUUUAUUUGUUUCUAUUAUGUAUGCCUUAUUUCCUUAGAGGCAUUUAAAUUGUGUUCAUUUGUUUUAGCCUGAGAACACAUUAUAUCAUGUGACACUAAAAUGUGGGCAUCAAGCCAUAUUAUAUUUUGUCAAUAAUAAAAUUCACUUACCGUGUAAGGGCAUUAGAAUCAGUAUCAGGAAGAAUUAAAUCCAGGGUAGGUAGGCGAUAUCUCAUGUAGUGUUUAUGUUAGGAAGCAAUGGGGUUUGUUGUCUUGAGACAGGGUUCACUAUUGUCUUGGUUAUUUUUUUUGUUGUUGUAAUAAAAUACCAUGAUCAAAAGCCAUUCUUAGCCAUCAUGAAGGGAAGUCAGGGCAAGAACUCAGGGUAGGAACUGAAACAGAAUCCCUGAAGAAUCCUGCCUACUAGCUCGCUGUUUGUGUGCUCUGCCUGGUGUUCUCUCUACACACACACACACACACACACACACACACACACUCACACACACACACACACACACACAUGAAACUAGGAUUACCUACUCGGGGAUGGUACCACCUACAGUGGGCUGGUCCCUCCCACAUCAAUUAUCAAUCAAAAAAUGCCCCCACAGACAUACCCACAUGCCAAUCUGAGAGAGUUAAUUCCUUAGUCGAGAUUCCCUCUUCCCAAGUACCUCAAGUUGACAACUAAAGCUUACGGUAACAGUCACCCUGACUGUAAGAGACUGACAAAGAGGUUGACUGGUGCAUGGGUUCUGGAGUAUUGGUUUAAAUACUAAAAGGCUAACUGGCUGGUAAGUUGUAGGUAUUCUCCAGGAAAUAGCUAGACCUCAGAGGGACAGGUCUUUUACACCAGCAGGGCCCUCAAAUACUACAAUAUCAAAAUACAGAAUAAAAAAGACAUCAUCUAUGUAAGACAACUAGCCCUUUACCAGACAUGUGCUCUUCUCCUUUGGAAGGAUGUCUUCCCCAUUCUGUUAAGAACAAAGUCACAGAUACCAUUAACAAUCUUCCUUAAAUUUCUGCUGAGCUGAGGGGUGGGUAUAAGACUCCUCAGCAGGUUAGAACCAGUUUUAGUGUUCAUAAUGUGCAACCAAGGAUAAAAGAGUUUUCUAUAUUGCAAUAGGAUUGCAAUAUAGAAAGAAGCAGAGAAGAAAGAGGGGAGACAGGAAUGUGUGAGCCCUGAACCUAGUUAUCCCAGAAGCUAACUCUAUUUCUUCUUAAUAACAAAAAGUAUCAAUUUUCUCCUUUGCCUAAAUUACUUUGAAUAUUUUUCCCUUUGCAUCUCAUCUUCAUAGAAGAGGAGCUGUAUGUAAGUCUAGAUUUCUGCUUGGAAAAUCAAAGCAGUCCUUUUAAAUGGGUGUCUAAACAUUUGUAUGUUUACCCUCGCACUGUGGCACUUCAAUGUUAUAAGAAUUUGGAGACUACCUCUUCAAAUUUCCUCUGAAAUGAUGAAAGUUGGGUGAAUAAAUUUUGAAGUCUAAGGAAAUAGGGCCGACUCUAUUAGGUUUGAUAAUCACUGUCAUAUAAAGUUGCACAUGUACUUAGAGCUCAGAUGAAAGAAGGACUUCUCCUUGAAGAGAGUCCAAUGUGAGCAAGUGCUAGUGUACACUGCAGAUGGCUGCCACCCUUGGAAUCAAAGAAAGGUUUCAAGGAACUGAUGUUGUUGGAGAAUAGGUGGACCAUUCUUCAAGAAAUACUGUGCCUGCCGACCUCCUGAGAAAGGACUAAUGGAGAAUCAUUGCUACUGCCUACUGGUGAUGCCUGGAAACCAGAUGGGGAAACCAUAAGUAAAAUACCAGGAAUCCAAUUGCUCACUCAAAUCAGAAGACAGUCUGGCUCCACUCUCAACAUCAUUAUCAGAAAUUGCCAUUUGCUGAUCUAAUGCCAUCGGCAUCUAAUGAUGUCAGGCCAAGAUGGGACUCGGUGGUUUUCACUUACUUGUAUUCACCAUGCUUCUCUCCGAUCAUCUUACACUCACUCUGUAUAACUUGAAACUAAUUUAAAACUACGU